GAUGAAGAACGCAGCGAAAUGCGAUAAGUAAUGUGAAUUGCAGAAUUCAGUGAAUCAUCGAAUCUUUGAACGCACAUUGCGCCCGCCAGUAUUCUGGCGGGCAUGCCUGUUCGAGCGUCAUUUCAACCAUCAAGCCCCAGGCUUGUGUUGGGGACCUGCGGCUGCCGCAGGCCCUGAAAACCAGUGGCGGGCUCGCUGUCACACCGGGCGUAGUAGAUUUUAUCUCGCUCAGGGCGUGCUGCGGGUCCCGGCCGUUAAAAGCCUUUUUUUACCCAAGGUUGACCUCGGAUCAGGUAGGAGGACCCGCUGAACUUAAGCAUAUCAAUAAGCGGAGGA
rnacentral:misc_RNA from 1 species